CUGGCCUCUCUUGUCUGUGUCUCUUCCAAAGACACUUGUCGCGUUGGAGUUAAGGCCCACCCAGAUAAUCUGGGAUGAUCUCAUUUCGAGAACCGUAACUUAAUUACAUCUGCAAAGACCAUUUUCCCAAAUAAGUUCUUAUUCACAGAUUCUGAGGAAGGAUGGGUGUACAUGGAUAUAUUUGUGGGGGUGCAUUUAUCCCGCUACAAAAUGACACUGGGUCCUUCUACUUGUGGAUGGUGGGUGGGGAGAGGGUUGAACAUUCCUGUAAUUCUUUCUUUUUUUUUUUUUUUCCUUUACUCCUUGUCAUGCUGAAUAUAUCGAGUCAGCAGCCAGCAUCAGGUACCUGGGAAUGAGGAAGGAAAGACAGGCAGAUGGCAAAGGGGCCUGUCAACUUCUCCUUUUCACUGACACUCACGCCACUCUUUCAUUUACAACCACAGAAUACCUAACUGCAAGAACUGCCGCAUCCCUGGUGGUCUGACCGUGUCUCUGAGCUAAGCAGCAGAUUUCAGCCACAGGGUCUGACUCUCAGGCAGACACAUCCUGUCCAAGGACUGGAGACAGAGCAUCCGUUCUCCCACCCAGAGCGGUCAGCUGCAUGUGGCUGGUUGGGGGCGGUUCAGACAGAAACGGCCCAAGAGAAAUGGAAAUAUGAUGGCUGGUUGAUUGUUUCGCAGUCUGCAUGACAGACCACCCUCCUAACAAGACUCUAGGUCAAGUGCUCUUCUCUGCCCUGUGGAUCUACUGGGGAGAAAUUAGCUCUCGGUGGUAUUUCCAAUUAUGGAGAAAAGCGAUUCCUCCCUGGUCUGGCUAUCAUGUGUUUUGCAGUGGACCAAGAGACAUGAAGCCCAUUUUCCACCCUCGCCUCUUUCUCGAUCUAGCUGCAUGACCUUGGGAGGUGGCGUGACCUCUCGGCUUCUUUGCUGCCUCAUCUGUCAUGAUCCACCUUCACUACUUCAUAGCCAUGUUCUAGGAUAAAUGAGAGAAGCCUCUACAUCUUUUAGUCUCCCAGAAAGACUGGAACCAGGUGCAGUGGCUUAUGCCUGUUAUCCCAGAACUUUGGGAGGCUGAGUCAGGAGGAUCACUUGAGGCCAGUUCAAGACCAGCCUGGGAAACAUAGCAAGAGCCUGUCUCUAUUGGGAGAAAAAAAAAAAAAAGGUAA